CUCCUUUGCACUGAUCAGCUAUCAGCACAAAUUCCAAGAUGACGAUCAGACUCGUGUGAAAGGAUCCCUCAAAGCAGGCUUCUUUGGGACGGUGGUGGAGUAUGGAGCUGAGAGGAAGAUCUCCAGGCAUAGCGUUUUGGGUGCAGCUGUCAGCAUUGGAGUUCCACAGGGCGUUUCUCUGAAAGUCAAGCUCAACAGGGCCAGUCAGACAUACUUCUUCCCUAUUCACUUGACGGACCAGCUUCUGCCCAGCGCCGUGUUCUAUGCCACCAUGGGGCCUCUAGUGGUCUACUUUGCCAUGCACCGUCUGAUCAUCAAACCAUACCUCAGGGCUCAGAAAGAGAAGGAAUUGGAGAAGCAGAGGGAAAGCGCCGCCACCGAUGUGCUGCAGAAGAAGCAAGAGGCGGAGUCCGCUGUGAGUGUUGCCCCGCCGUUCUUAAGCGAGGGCUGUAGGGGACACACUCCACACCCCACAUGUUGGUCUCAGGGCCUUAGAUGGCAGACUUCUCUUCUCCAGCAACUUGGCUAUUUAGUCUCUAUUGUGGGAUGCGGUGCUGGGCUCUGCAGUCCCUGCCCUGAAGAUAAUUACCCUCCAAAGGCAUAACAAGGGCUUUUUUUAAAGUGGUCCGGCUGAUGCAGGAAUCUGUCCGAAGGAUAAUUGAGGCAGAAGAGUCCAGAAUGGGCCUCAUCAUUGUCAAUGCCUGGUACGGGAAGUUUGUCAA
rnacentral:sRNA from 1 species